GGGGCUGUAGCUCAGUGGUAGAGCGCUUGCAUCACACGUUUGAGGCAUUGGGUUUGAUCCUCAGCACCA
rnacentral:tRNA from 1 species